UUAUUUUUAUAAAUUUUACAUACUAUUUAGAUCAAUUGUCAUUGAUUUAGAUAGUGAAUUUAAUGUUUCAAAAUGGACGGUAAAUAUAUUUAUAUAUAUAUAUAUCAUAUCAAAUCCUAUCAUAUCAUAUCUCCUAUAUUUUAAAUUAUGCAUAUUAUUUUACGUGAUACGUGAUAAAAGCGUGCCUUCUGUUGAGGCAACAGAGCUACGCUAAAGGGAUGGGGUGGGGAUUUUAAAUUGCUAUAUUUUAUGUUUUCAGCACAGUUUAUUGAUUUAAAGUUUUGAAAAAGUGUCCUCUAUUCAUAAUAUUUAUAAUAUGGAUAAAUUGAGAAGGAAUUUAUUUGAGUUUAAUUAAAAGUCCAAAAAUAUUUUACUUAUAAAUACAAAUUGUAAAGACUACAGCAUAUCUAUAUACAAUCUUUCAAUUUAUAUUUUGAAUAUUCAAUGGGAAACCUGAACAAAAUACUGCUAAUAGCUAUAGGAAAUCAUAAGCAUAUUAUAUAAUCAAAGUUGAGGACAAGAAUAAAUAAUAAACAAAAGUUUUAGAACAUGAAACAACUUAUGACAUGUCCUUUAAAAAAAUGAACAUUAAUUUAUAAUAUGUUUGGAUGAUUAUUGUUUUAAUAAAUAAAAUUGAAUUGUAUGUUUUGUAUAGGAUUUGAUAAAUCAAUACUUUUUUAAUUUUUAAAUAAUAAAAUUUUGACUAAUGAUGCAAUGUAAAUUUGAAUUUUUUUAAGUAUGAUAUAUAUAUAUAUUUGACUCAAUAUCUUAUGCUAUUAUAUAGAAUUUAUAGUUCAUGUAUUUAGAGCAAAAUAAA